rnacentral:miRNA from 1 species
AUAACAUUGUAAAGCGCUUCUUUCG